AUACGAAGGGUGCAAGCGUUAAUCGGAAUUACUGGGCGUAAAGCGCGCGUAGGUGGUUCAGCAAGUUGGAUGUGAAAGCCCCGGGCUCAACCUGGGAACUGCAUCCAAAACUACUGAGCUAGAGUACGGUAGAGGGUGGUGGAAUUUCCUGUGUAGCGGUGAAAUGCGUAGAUAUAGGAAGGAACACCAGUGGCGAAGGCGACCACCUGGACUGAUACUGACACUGAGUUGCGAAAGCGUGGGGAGCAAACAGGAUUAGAUACCCUGGUAGUCAACGCCGUAAACGAUGUCAACUAGUUGUUGGGUUCCUUGAGAACUUAGUAACGAAGCUAACGCGAUAAGUUGACCGCCUGGGGAGUACGGCCGCAAGGUUAAAACUCAAAUGAAUUGACGGGG
rnacentral:rRNA from 1 species